GAUGAAGAACGCAGCGAAAUGCGAUAAGUAAUGUGAAUUGCAGAAUUCAGUGAAUCAUCGAAUCUUUGAACGCAUCUUGCGCUCCUUGGUAUUCUGAGGAGCAUGCCUGUUUGAGUGUCAUUAAAUUCUCAACUACACUGACUUUGAAUUGGUGUGGCUUGGAUUUGGGGGGAAAAUUGUUGUGGGCUUUUUGUAUAGUCUGCUCCCCUGAAAUUGAUUAGCGGUACCUUUGUGGAACUGUCUACAGGUGUGAUAAUUAUCUACAUCUUAGACAUCUGCUGGAAUGCUGCUCUCUAAACCUUACUUGUAUUGACAAUCUUGACCUCAAAUCAGGUAGGACUACCCGCUGAACUUAAGCAUAACAAUAAGCGGAGGA
rnacentral:misc_RNA from 1 species